rnacentral:rRNA from 1 species
GAUGAACGCUGGCGGCGUGCCUAAUACAUGCAAGUCGAGCGAACGGACGAGAAGCUUGCUUCUCUGAUGUUAGCGGCGGACGGGUGAGUAACACGUGGAUAACCUACCUAUAAGACUGGGAUAACUUCGGGAAACCGUAGCUAAUACCGGAUAAUAUUUUGAACCGCAUGGUUCAAAAGUGAAAGACGGUCUUGCUGUCACUUAUAGAUGGAUCCGCGUUGCAUUAGCUAGUUGGUAAGGUAACGGCUUACCAAGGCAACGAUGCAUAGCCGGCCUGAGAGGGUGAUCGGCCACACUGGAACUGAGACACGGUCAAGACUCCUACGGGAGGCAGCAGUAGGGAAUCUUCCGCAAUGGGCGAAAGCCUGACGGAGCAACGCCGCGUGAGUGAUGAAGGUCUUCGGAUCGUAAAACUCUGUUAUUAGGGAAGAACAUAUGUGUAAGUAACUGUGCACAUCUUGACGGUACCUAAUCAGAAAGCCACGGCUAACUACGUG